rnacentral:lncRNA from 1 species
UGUACCUCUGGCUUUAAUUCCAGUUUGUCUAUAAAUGUAUAAUAAUUGAUAUGUUGGAUUAAUGUCUCCAUUUCAACCAAGAAUCAAAGUUACAGAAUAGGUCUAAAUCAAAUCCAACUUUAUUUCAAAUCAAAUCCAACUUUAUUUAAAAUGCAUUUAAAGUUUGAUUAGAUUUAGUCCUAUUUUUAUUUAUUUUUAAACUUAGAUUGUUGGUUGAGAUAGAGACGUGAAUCCAAUAGCCUAGCGGUUAAGAGCGUUGGGUUAGUAACUGAAAGGUUGCUGGUUUGAAUCCCCGGAGCCGACUAGGUGAAAAUCUGUUGUGCCCUUGAGCAAGGCACUUAUCCCUAAUUGCUCCUGUAAGUCUCUCUGGAUAAGAGUGUCUGCUAAAUGACUAACACGUUCAUAUUAAUAGGUGAGUGUGAUAUUACACAUUCCGUUGGUUGAAUGACAGACGAGCGGUGUGUGAAUGUGACUAUGACACACACACACACAGCCUAUGAUUUUAGUUAAUGCCAUUCCAAGAUAUUCCUCCCUGCAGCCAUAGAUAGGUGUGUUGUGUAAGGCCCCGUCGGCUCUGUGACAGCAUGUCUGCUUGGUUACAGGUGGGAGGACUGUUUGCGCUAAACCCCUUUUCCUGGAUGGGAGAACAUCUUUAGGAAAAACACACAUUGCUCAAUUUCACACUUUGGUCUCCAGAACAGGGCAUGUUGUAUCCAGAGUUAUACAGGCAGCAGCUGAAGUAGGAUUAGCCCAGUCUGGAGUGGAUUCAACAGCCAGCCAGCCAGCCAGCCAGCCUGCCAGCCAGCCUGCCAGCCAGCCAGCCAGCCAGCCCUGCCUGAGGUGGGAGAGGGGAGAGCAGAGGGACUACAACACUAGCUCAGCUCCAACGUGGUCGUAUUGGGGUAAGUCUGUUACUGCCCACCUCCAUGUCUUCACCUGUCUCUGUGAACCUGCCCCCUCAUUGAACAGACACCGUCUUUGCUCAUAAGGUUUUUGUUGGGCGCUGGUUGCUGUUUGUUUGAACUCAACCACUCUUCUUCUUGUGUUAGUCUGAAAUGGAAGAAUGAGGAGUCCGUUUGUUGACCCUCCCACCCCUCUGUUACAGCAGACAGACACUAAACAGAGAGCAACGCUAACUGACUAUAAGGUUUUGGCUGAGGGGGGGGUUCUGCUUGUAUCUGUUUGUUUUGAAUCAUUUAGUGUUGUUGUAGUCUGACUAGCUAAUUAGCUUGUUGUAGUCCGACUAGCUAAUUAGCUUGUUGUAGUCUGACUAGCUAAUUAGCUUGUUGUAGUCCGACUAGCUAAUUAGCUUGUUGUAGUCUUGACCAGCUAAUUAGCUUGUUGUAGUCUGACUAGCUAAUUAGCUUGUUGUAGUCCAACUAGCUAAUUAGCUUGUUGUAGUCUGACUAGCUAAUUAGCUUGUUGUAGUCCGACUAGCUAAUUAGCUUGUUGUAGUCUGACUAGCUAAUUAGCUUGUUGUAGUCUUGACUAGAUAAUUAGCUUGUUGUAGUCUGACUAGCUAAUUAGCUUGUUGUAGUCUUGACUAGCUAAUUAGCUUGUUAUAGUCUGACUAGCUAAUUAGCUUGUUGUAGUCUUGACUAGCUAAUUAGCUUGUUGUAGUCUUGACUAGCUAAUUAGCUUGUUAUAGUCUGACUAGCUAAUUAGCUUGUUGUAGUCUUGACUAGCUAAUUAGCUUGUUAUAGUCUGACUAGCUAAUUAGCUUGUUGUAGUCCGACUAGCUAAUUAGCUUGUUGUAGUCCGACUAGCUAAUUAGCUUGUUGUAGUCUGUCUUUAGCUAAUUAGCUUGUUGUAGUCUGUCUUUAGCUAAUUAGCUUGUUGUAGUCUGUCUUUAGCUAAUUAGCUUGUUGUAGUCUGUCUUUAGCGAAUUAGCUUGUUGUAGUCUGACUAGCUAAUUAGUGUGUUGUAGUCUGACUAGCUAAUUAGCUUGUUGUAGUCCAAUUUGCUAAUUAGCAUGUUGUUGUCUGUCUUUAGCUAAUUAGCUUAUUGUAGUCUGUCUUUAGCUAAUUAGCUUGUUGU